rnacentral:rRNA from 1 species
UACGAGGGGGGCAAAUGUUGUUCGGAAUCACUGGGCGUAAAGGGAGCGUAGGCGGGUUCUUAAGUAAGGUGUUUAAUCCCGGGGCCCAACCCCGGACCGGCACUUUAAACUGGGAAUCUUGAAUAGUGGAGAGGUCGGUGGAAUUGGGGGUGUAGCGGUGGAAUGCGUAGAGAUCGGCAGGAACACCCAGGGGGAAACCAGUCGACUGGGCAUCUACUGACGCUGAGGUGCGAGAGCGUGGGGAGCGAACCGG